UGCCAGCAGCCGCGGUAAUACGAAGGGGGCUAGCGUUGUUCGGAAUCACUGGGCGUAAAGCGCACGUAGGCGGAUUGAUAAGUUAGGGGUGAAAUCCCGAGGCUCAACCUCGGAACUGCCUUUGAUACUGUCAGUCUAGAGACCGAGAGAGGUGAGUGGAACUCCGAGUGUAGAGGUGAAAUUCGUAGAUAUUCGGAAGAACACCAGUGGCGAAGGCGGCUCACUGGCUCGGUACUGACGCUGAGGUGCGAAAGCGUGGGGAGCAAACAGGAUUAGAUA
rnacentral:rRNA from 1 species